GGCCUCAGACCCCGCCCACCUCGGCCCGCCCACCCAAGACCCCGCCCACCCCGGGCCCUCGGCCGCCUCAGGGAAUCCCCGCGCGCAGUGUUCAAUUGGUGUGGGCUGAAUUGUCACUGAAAAAUAGGAACUCAGCUACAAAAAA